rfam:Stegodyphus mimosarum contig50968, whole genome shotgun sequence.
GCCUUCGUGGUGUAGUGGUCAGCACGCCAGACGCGCAUUCGAAAGGUCCGUGGUUCGAGUCCCGGCGAGGGUA